rnacentral:rRNA from 1 species
UACGUAGGGGGCUAGCGUUGUCCGGAAUCAUUGGGCGUAAAGCGCGUGUAGGCGGCCCGAUAAGUCCGCUGUGAAAGUCGGGGGCUCAACCCUCGAAAGCCAGUGGAUACUGUCAGGCUAGAGUACGGAAGAGGCGAGUGGAAUUCCUGGUGUAGCGGUGAAAUGCGCAGAUAUCAGGAGGAACACCCAUUGCGAAGGCAGCUCGCUGGGACGUUACUGACGCUGAGACGCGAAAGCGUGGGGAGCAAACAGG